UACGUAGGGGGCUAGCGUUGUCCGGAAUCAUUGGGCGUAAAGCGCGUGUAGGCGGCCCGGUAAGUCUGCUGUGAAAGUCCAGGGCUCAACCCUGGGAUGCCGGUGGAUGCUGUCGAGCUCGAGUCCGGAAGAGGCGAGUGGAAUUCCUGGUGUAGCGGUGAAAUGCGCAGAUAUCAGGAGGAACACCAAUGGCGAAGGCAGCUCGCUGGGACGGUACUGACGCUGAGACGCGAAAGCGUGGGGAGCAAACAGG
rnacentral:rRNA from 1 species